rnacentral:lncRNA from 10 species
CGGAGAGGUGGGCAUUAACCUCGCUCUCGCCCUGCUCGCAUUCACAGGCUGUGGAGACCUGGGCCUUCUGCGAUCACCCUAGGAGUUGAUCCAGAUAUGUGCCUCACGCCCUGAUCACUCCCCCCAAAUUAGUAUCCGCAGAGAUUCGAGGACAUGCCGUUGACCUUGUUACAGGACUGGUGUCGGGGGGAACACCUGAACACCCGGAGGGCCACCAGACUCCUGGAGAGAUCAAGCAAGGAGAACCUGGGGCUGCCAUGGCCAAAGCAACUCAACAGAUGCCAAUGCCAAUUCCAAGGCCAGCCACAACCCUGCCACCUUGGGGAAUCCAGCCUGGAGGCAUCCCCUAAGCAGCCAGCCAUGGCCUGGGUGGAGGCACCUGAAGACGUCUGUCCCAAACUCCCCCAGCCCUGAGCUGGGAGAUGACAGGGGGAAAGAGGCCCUCUCAAGGGUGCCAGAUGCCUGGGUCUCCCAAGAGGGGUCCCCCAACUCACUGUUCCCGGGACAGGCUGCCCCCUGUUCCAGGAAGCUCAUCCUCACCUGUGUAGGCCCCUGUAGUGACCCACGCGUCCAGCAGACGCCCACCCACCGCUAGCCGUUGUUCCUGUGCAAAGUAGUGUGCUAUGCACCCACCCAGGUGGCCGCCUCUGGGCCCAAGGCACAUGCUGUGAGCUUCCUGUGAGCCCAGGCUCUGCUCACUGCUGUCCCGCGUCAUGAGCACCACCUCUGCUUUCCCUGUGUAGAUCUAGGCCAGUGGCUGCUUGUUCUUGUGGAGCUGUGUGUGUUCUUCUCUGAGCAGCUCCUCCCCGGAGUCCCCCAGCACAGUCCCAGGAGAUGACAGGAAGGAAGCACCAGGGCAAGGCGGACGCUCACCCUGUGACCACGAUGGUGACCGUGACUGUGGGAGGAAGAACUGGACCCAGGACGGAGCGGGGCUGCCCUGCCUGAGGCUCCCGAGGAGCUUUGUGCUUUGGUGUUCCACCCCUGUUGUUACUCAUGACUCAGUUUCCUUAACCUGGUAGGGUGUUCCCUGCUGUGUUUUCCAGUGUCCUGUGACUGUCCUGUGCGGGCCAUAGGGCAGGGCCCUGCCCCAGCAGAUGGGCUUGGGAGGGGACUCCCUAAAGCCAGUGGACACUGCCAGAGUCUACCUUCCUGGCAAGAGGCAGACCCCGGGGCCCUCAGGAAGGAGGGAGUUGGCAGCGGGGGCUGCAGCAGGAGUAGGAGCAGAUGAGGCGUCUUGCCAGGAACCUCAGGAGGAGGGGGCCCGGGACCUGUGUGGGACCUGUGUCCUGUGGUGGCCGUUUGCAGUUUCUCUCUGUGUUGUGAUUCCCUUCUC